GCCGCGGUUUAUACUGGCACACGUCUUCGUAGCUCCUGCUUGCCUGCGCUUUGUGUGAGAGUUGUGGGUCAGUGGUUUGGAAGAGUCGGGGUUUGCGUUGUAGCAGAGCACUGGACCUGUAAGCACUUCGCCAUGGAUCGCUUCAGAAAACAGUAGAUGCUGUUCCUCCUUGUAAGAAACACCUGGAGAAAAUCCCAUCUCUGCAGCAGCCCUGGAAUAACCCCUGGUAUAAAGCUGUUGGGCUACACAGCACUGCUCUGUGAAAUCCUACUGAACUGAAAUGUAAGGAAUGGCUGCAAAUAUUGACAGAAUUAAUCACCACAGAUGGUGUUCUGAGCACACGCACUUCCCGUAAAUGGGAGCAGACACUGGUCAGAGAUCACUGGGGACUGGUUAGGUAAACACCUACGGAAUGGGAAGGCUCAUCUGUUAGCUGGUUCUCCAUACGCUCUUUGACUUGACAGAUGAGGGGUUUUCUGUAAAAAAGUCCCACUCUAAGUGCUGCUGAUCCAGGAAGGAAGGAUGGUCUGCAGAAUUUAAUCUGUCAUUUGCAGUUCUCCAUAAUUCAGGUUCACUGGAGAAACCGUCCUGAGCUUUAAUUGAGUGAACAGGAGCUGCUCUGAUCAAUCUUGAGUUCUAUCAUCACCACCUUUCUACAGCUGUAUUACUGUGGGCUUGCAGUUGUGUAGUUAAGGAAUUCUGUUACUUUUCCCACAGUGUUAAUAAAAUAGAUCAUUUCUACCUGAAAAUGCCCUGGGGCUUUUUUUGAUGCUAAAUGUUUUGUUUUUUUUCCCUGAGCAAGACCCAGUUCUUGCUUUUCUAUGCUCUGAAUCCUCUUAAUGGAAUCUUGUUAGGGCAUCGUAUGUAUUUCGUUAUACUUGUCUGUCAAAUGAUGGGAUUGAGCUUUUAAUUUCCCAGUCACUGAUUUGGAAAUUUAGACUAGCAAACUCUGCAGAUCAGAGGACAGAACUGCAAAUCGGAACACUUGGGUAACUGCAGACUAAAAUGGUAGUAGGGUAGAAGUAUAGGAAUAAUGAUGUACAAUUGAGUCAAAAUAGAAUAAAAUGAUGGUAGCAUAAUUAAUGCAAACUGUCAUGAUUUCAAAUAAAAUGUUUUAUUAAAUUCUGAAUUUUAAACGUAUUACAGAUUUAAUUGAUUUUGGCAGUUAAUUGAGAAAGGUUGCUUAGACCCGCAGGUUGAUGUAGUUCUGUGUUGAAUAUGAUUCUUCCAGCUAUGUUGUCUGGAGACUGUCAGCAUGGAGGUCAGUGAAACGGAGACCAGUCAGCAAUCAGAUGUUGAUGCGGUAAACUAGAAUUUGUUGUAAAGGAAUCAUAGUAAAGUAGAUUUCAAUUUACAGAAUUUGAUACCGCAACCUUAGCUUUUAAUGGAAGUAGAAAUGCUUUCAGAAGUUGAUGAAAGCUUGGAACAUUACCCCUUUAAAAAUUUGGCUCUGGUUUAAUGCCUUUUAUUUGAAACUCCCCUAUAAAACGGAGUCCAGACCAGCUGCUGGUAUCUUUGGGACAUCUGAAGUUUGGUGUUUAGGCUGUAGCAUUCCCUCCGUGCUCAUCCCUCUGAAGAGAUCUUCCAUGUUUUUCUUUUCAUUGGUGCUUGAAAGUUGGUUCGGUGUGGCUCCUUGCUUUGGUGCUUUGGCUGCUGUUACUGUAAAGCUUCCUGAUAUGUUCAGAGCAGAAGUACUCCUAACAUUCCAGUAAAUCAUCUGGAAGUAAGAUUUAGGGCAGUAACGCUCCUCUUUCCGAAUGGUCUGUAUUGACCUCCUACAGAGUGUGUGUGAAGUGUUGGGUUUAUUUGUUUAUAAUGCAGAGACUUUUGGCUGCAUUCCAGCUUUUGAGUGGGCAGCCUGGGACCCCCAUCCAUUAGCUGACAUUAAUCAGUUUAAUAAUGGGCAGAUGCAGUUUUAAUAAAAGCUUUUACAAAAAUUGCCUGCUCAGCUGCUAGGGGGCACAGGGAGUUAUCGGACAAACAGCAGUGUGUAUUUGCCUUGGAAUACUGUGCAUAAUGUGUAUUUGCCUUGACAUCUUUUGCUGUCAAGGUAGUAGAUAGAGCACAUCCUACAACAUCUGGAGCUUUUUUUUAAUAACCUUUUCCUGAUCUUUAGUUAAUACAAUUUCCACCACAUUUCUUACAAAGGAGCCAGCCGAAUUAAUACACUGAUAAAUUUAUGUUGAAAUUCCAGGCUUAAACUUUAUUGCAGCUGUUUGAUUCAUUUUAUCCUCUGUACAGUGCUGCCUGCUUUUUCUGCUUUUUUUUAUAUCCCAGAUAUUGCUUGGCUUGUAUCUUGGUGCAUUAAUUUGGUUUCCUUUGUAGCAAUGUGGAAGAUUUUUUUCUUGUGUUCCUGGAAGAAAAGGAAAGUGUUUGCUGAAUCAAGGCUCAGAGCUCCAUCAAGGAUGCUUCUGGAGAGAAAAUUUGUGACUCACUUCUAGAAGCCUUUCUGAAAAGGCCUUUCCACUUAUUCAUGUUGCAUUUGUCUUUUACUUAUUUGUCUCAUUGUCAUUAUUGAGCAGUAUGUGGUGAUUUUUGUGACUGAGGACUUUAAUUCACUCUUUCACAGUGAAAGGAGAAUUUGAAAAAUUGUGAAGCAGAUAUGUUUUCUUAAUAGAUUUUCUUUAUCUGUUCUUUGAGAGCUGUGCUCUACAGUACAUAUGUGACCUACAGAGAACUUACAUUGUCUGUCUGUCCGUUUUAAUCCAAGGAAUCGAUGUUUAUGUGAGUUUAUUAUAGUGUUUUUAUUUUUAAUACGUAUCUACAAAUCAUCUGUAGAAUUUUUUGGGGGGCAUUCAACUUUAGUCAUUCAUAAAUCAGUGUCCAAAAAAUGCUUUGGUAUUUUUUGAAAAUAUUGGGUUUGUGUCCUUCACGGUUUAUGCUUCAUUCUAAGAUAGUGCAUAAUGUUAUUGCUGACCAGAAACUGGCAAUGAGGUGACAUGGUGAAGCUGUCUCAUUCUUCAAAAGACUAUGAACGUACUACUAGGUUUUUAAAAAAUCGGUAAAUGUGGACUAAUGGCCCACUAAAUUAGGAUUUCCCUUCCUUAUCCAUGACAUCAUUAAUGUAUCCAUGAAUAGUGUCAGAGAUAUCGGUAAUAAUGGAGGAGCUGUAAAAAUGUAAAAGUCCACAGACAGCUAACGAGGAUAGCUAAUGGGCUUUAAUUUCUUUCUUACUCAGGAUUUACUCCAUUCAGGUUGUUCUGUGAAUGUUUUAUGCAUGUUGCUUUGUAUAGGGAGGGAACAAAUGUUUUCUUCCCUUGAGGCGCUGUGGGAUAAUUCUACAGAGCUGUCUUUGCAUGGAGCGUGCUGUUUCUAAGAUCAGAUGAAGAGGAGGCAUUGAGGAAAGGAGGAGUUUUUGGCACUCGAUCAGUGAUAAAAUACCUCUGGUAAUGUUCAAGGGGAGAGUUGUCAAAUCUGUGUGCCUUGUUCUGUUCUAGUUUCACAUUAGCACCAAAGGACUAAUUUUGACCAGUAGAGUACUUUUUUGU